GGGCACUGCCGAGGCCCAUGGGCGGGAAGCCGGGCGGCGGGCGGGACGUGGCCUCGGUCCCGGCCCUGCCCCGCCCCGCCGCCACUGAGACUCCCAGCGCCACCAACGUCGGAGUUGCAGUUUCUUUAGCUGUCAUAUGCAGACAAGUACUACCCACCUCGCCUUUGGAGUGAGCAGCAUCCCUGUGCCCAUCCUGCUGUGAUUCAGGAGUCUCGCAGAAGACAUCAGAAUGCCUUUCUCUGAGUCACAGUCUGUAUCUUCUAGAAAAGGCUGUCCAUCUUCACCCCAAGCCCACUGGCUCCUGAGAUACGACAUCCAGACCCAGUGCAGCUGGACCUGGCCCAGGAAGAUCAUGCGGUUUCUGGGAAGCACUGGAGAAGGAAAAGGCUGAAGAAAGGAAGACCGGAAAAGAAAUACAAGUCCUUCCGCCUUGGCAAAGAUGAUAGUACCGUUCCCUUCAGUGUUCCGGUUCUGCUCUAUUGGAUAAGUUCCGGUUUGACUAUGACUACGUGAAAAUGUGGAACCAGACCUUCACCCCACAUUCCAGCUCCAGCUCUACCACAGAGGAAGUGCAAUAUCACCUUAGUUAUUCAACACAUUAUGCUCCUCGUGAUACAACCAGAGUUCACAUCAGCAAUCUUGGCAGCUCUCACCACGCUGCUGACUCACGACUCUCUCAUGUCCCAAUUUCCUGUCCAUUGUUCUUUCCUCUACUUGGCCUGAUUUCUAAAGGCCUCUCUUGGUUGCAUUAAGCGGGAUUCCUGAGGGAUUCCCUUGGCAGUUACCUUGGGGGAGCUCUUAGGUUUGGGGCUGAUCCAUGUCCUCUAAAUGUAGGACUUCAAAGCUCCCAAAGAUAGGCAGGCCCAGUGGGAAGCUGGGAAAUGCUCUCUGACCCCUCUGGGAGGGCUGGCAGUCAGAGGGCCUUUUGGAAAGAGUCAGACCUGAUCCAUAAGUCCCUGGAAAACACCCUGCCCAGGGAGCAAAUGCCACUGUGGCCUUGACUGAGGCUUCAGAAGAGUUUGGGAGCUGCAAUUCAUCCACACACGCAUUCAUUUUCAAGUAGUGGUUUGCAGUUCAGGCUUUGGAGCCACAUAAGCCUGGCUUCAAAGCCACUUUCCAGCUUUGUAGGAAGUCUCUACAUUUUUAAACCUCCAUUUUUUUUUCCUGUAAAACUGGGGUCUUCAUGGUACUUAACUUCAUCGUGAUGUUGAGAGAAUGAAAAGAAAAAGGAUAAAUAAAUGGCUUAGCCUCGUGCCUUGGCACAUA
rnacentral:lncRNA from 1 species